rfam:Dipodomys ordii cont1.36385, whole genome shotgun sequence.
UUUUGGGGCGGUGUUUACGGACUCUUCUUCUCUGCUUCCGCCCUGCACUUGGCCCCGGCUUUGAGCCUCUCCUGUUUUCCAGCCAGACCCGGAAAAACGAAAACAAGACUUGGGAAGCCCCCACCAGCCGGCGUCUGUGCCAGCUCACCUCUGGCUGUGGCUGGCUGCGGCUGCACAUCCCGGCCAAGGCCAGCUCCACAUCUUCCCUCCCCCUCCCACUUCACUGGAGCCGGGAGCACUUCGCCCAGAGGAAGGGCCUCAGACUGCCAAAGUCGACUGGGUCCCUCUACUCCAAAAAUGGUGAGGCAAGAUUUCAAUCUUGUUCACCGAGAAGCCACAAAGCAG